AGUGAAGGGGAAGUCUCUCUGUCAUGUCCAACUGUUUGUGAUCCCGUGAACUGUAGCCCACCAGGCUCCUAUAUCCAUGGGAUUUCCCAGAUGAUAAGACAUCAUGAGAGGGGAGACCUUGCUCAGGAUCACCCUGCAAGCCAAUGGCACAACCAGGACUGCCCCAAGUCCACCCACUGCCCCACCACCAGUUUGGGAAUGAAGGGAUAAGGACAGCACAGGGUGGAUUUUUGAGACUUGCAGAAGAGGAUGGAAAAUCCGGGCAGUUUGGACCAGCCUUCAUCACAGUGUAAGGAACCACAGUCUUUCCAGCAUUCCCGUCUUACUUUAGCAGUGCCCUGUGUCUGCUGGUAAGUGUUAUUUGGCAGUCUUGGCUCAUGGACCACUGCCUGAGCAUGCAGCUGUCUGAUGAGCUCCUAGCCAUUGGGGGGAGGGAGUCUGUUCCUGUCUUCCUUUAUUACACACAUACAAGCCUCCUGUCUCCUGGAGCAUCCUGUCACAUUGCUUGUCUCAAGCCAAGAUCUUGCCUUUCAACAGAACCUCAUUCAGUUUGUUUUCUUACUGACAUCAUGUUGUUCCACCCGGAUGAUCUUCUGGUCUCUUGGUAGCCCUUUCAGUCUCCCCAACUGGUGGGAUCUAACCCAGACUUCUGAGAAAUCAAACCUGCUGUUGGAACCAAGAGCUAACAGACGGGGUGCUGUGAGUAGGCCUUGUGCCUGGGACACCUGGUACAGUCCCGGCAGGCCCCACAGGAGGUUCUGCUCCCCGCCAGUCACCCUCAGAAGCCCCGUGCAGAAGGUUGGAGGGCAAGUACCACCACUGUCCAGGUAAGGGGACCAACUGACCCAGGUUGCUUGGGGCCAGGGGUUUUGCAGGGCACAAAACAUUCAGUGCUAAACUGAGAAAGUCCUGGUCUCCUUAUAGUUGGGACAGUUCAGCCUCAAGAGGCCAAAAGGGGGUCCUUUCACUUCUGUUAAAUUAAAUACAGAACAUGAGAGCUGUGAAUUAAGUUCUAUCUGGGGCAAAAUGACAACUGUACCCCGAGAGACAGUGUUUCAGAUAGAUCUGAGAUGCUGCUCCAAGGAGGUGAGGGAAGGAGUCAGGAUAUAAACGAGUUUUGCAACAAAGGGCAGGUAGUCAGAACAUCAAAAGAUUACUGUUAGUUAAAGAAAACUAGAUAUCCCAAGUUAAGGAAUUUAGCACUUUUCAAAUGUGUGGGAAGAUGCAAGAGUCUGG
ensembl:lncRNA